CCUACGGGAGGCAGCAGUGGGGAAUAUUGGACAAUGGGCGAAAGCCUGAUCCAGCCAUGCCGCGUGUGUGAAGAAGGCCUUCGGGUUGUAAAGCACUUUCAGUGGGGAAGAAAGCCUUGGGGCUAAUACCCUCGAGGAAGGACAUCACCCACAGAAGAAGCACCGGCUAACUCCGUGCCAGCAGCCGCGGUAAUACGGAGGGUGCGAGCGUUAAUCGGAAUUACUGGGCGUAAAGCGCGCGUAGGCGGUCUGAUAAGCCGGUUGUGAAAGCCCCGGGCUCAACCUGGGAACGGCAUCCGGAACGGUCAGGCUAGAGUGCAGGAGAGGAAGGUAGAAUUCCCGGUGUAGCGGUGAAAUGCGUAGAGAUCGGGAGGAAUACCAGUGGCGAAGGCGGCCUUCUGGACUGACACUGACGCUGAGGUGCGAAAGCGUGGGUAGCAAACAGGAUUAGAUACCCGGGUAGUC
rnacentral:rRNA from 1 species